AUGACAAAGAGAACCAAGAAGGCAGGCAUUGUUGGAAAGUAUGGUACUCGAUAUGGUGCUAGUCUGCGGAAGCAGAUUAAGAAGAUGGAAGUUAGUCAACAUAGCAAAUUUUUCUGCGAAUUUUGUGGAAAGUAUGCUGUGAAAAGGAAGGCUGUAGGAAUAUGGGGAUGCAAGGAUUGUGGGAAAGUGAAAGCAGGGGGUGCUUACACUUUGAAUACUGCAAGUGCUGUGACUGUGAGGAGUACCAUCCGAAGGUUGAGGGAACAAACCGAGAGUUGA